CUGGCCGUGGGCGGGCGGCAGCGCCGCCGGCUCUCGGCCGGUGGGGGGCUCGGUCGUGCUCCGGGACCCGUCAACCGGU
rnacentral:tRNA from 1 species